rfam:Stegodyphus mimosarum contig39500, whole genome shotgun sequence.
GCCUUCGUGGUGUAGUGGUCUGUAUGCUCGACGCGUAACCGAGAGGUCCGUGGUUCGAUUCCCGGGCGAAGGCG